UACGUAGGGUGCAAGCGUUAAUCGGAAUUACUGGGCGUAAAGCGCACGUAGGCGGCUUUGUAAGUCAGGGGUGAAAUCCUGGAGCUCAACUCCAGAACUGCCUUUGAUACUGAGAAGCUUGAGUCCGGGAGAGGUGAGUGGAACUGCGAGUGUAGAGGUGAAAUUCGUAGAUAUUCGCAAGAACACCAGUGGCGAAGGCGGCUCACUGGCCCGGUACUGACGCUGAGGUGCGAAAGCGUGGGGAGCAAACAGGGAUUAAGAA
rnacentral:rRNA from 1 species